UUCAAUGAUGAUCUUUAUAAACAAUUAUACGCAAAUGGAAAUUACCGUCCAAACUCUCAGAUUGAGAGUGGUGCGGAUAUAAAAUGGCUAAAUUCUGAUA
rnacentral:snoRNA from 1 species